CAGGUAGCAGGAUGUAGAUGUGGACUGAAGAUUGCCAGGUAGCAGGAUGUAGAUGUGGACUGAAGAUUGACAGGUAGCAGGAUGUAGAUGUGGACUGAAGAUUGCCAGGUAGGAGGAUGUAGAUGUGGACUGAAGAUUGCCAGGUAGCAGGAUGUAUAGAUGUGGACUGAAAAGAUUGCCAGGUAGGAGGAUGUAGAUGUGGACUGACGAUUGCCAGGUAGGAGGAUGUAGAUGUGGACUGAAGAUUGCCAGGUAGGAGGAU